CGCUUCGACUCCACCGUGGGGUUUGGCCCAGGAAGCCGCUGUCACAAAGCAUCGGCCCAGGCGACGCGGCCUCUGUCGGAGGAGCUGAGUUGGCAGAAUCGCCCACCCCUGCCAACGCGGCGAGGGCGACCCGUCGCUCAACAUGAAGGGAUGCGACGCGACAGUCGGUGCCGCGUGGAGUUUCGUGGGAGCGCGAAGGGUCACAGUUUCAGACUGGGGCAAAUGUGCCGGAUGGAAGAGGCAGGUUACGGCAACUGGCACGAGUGACACACACAGAAGCGAGAUAAAGAAGCCGGGGCACGGUUGGAGACGGCGAUCACUCCGCGCCCAAGAGAAGAGAAAAGGGAGAGGACAACUGCUCUGUAUCGGAGCGUCGCUAAAGCCCAGCGCACAACAAGACCCUCACAAAAGAGCGGGCGCUGGA